CCUACGGGUGGCAGCAGUGGGGAAUAUUGCACAAUGGGGGAAACCCUGAUGCAGCGACGCCGCGUGCGUGAAGACGUAAUUCGUUAUUUAAAGCUCUAUCAGCAGGGAAGAAAAUGACGGUACCUGAGUAAGAAGCCCCGGCUAACUACGUUCCAGCAGCCGCGGUAAUACGGAGGGGGCCAGCGUUAUCCGGAUUUACUGGGUGUAAAGGGAGCGUAGACGGCAGUGCAAGUCUGGAGUGAAAGGGGGGGGCUCAACCCCCGGACUGCUCUGGAAACUGGACGGCUGGAGUGCAGGAGAGGUAGGUGGAAUUCGUAGUGUAGCGGUGAAAUGCGUAGAUAUUAGGAGGAACACCAGUGGCGAAGGCGGCUUACUGGACUGUAACUGACGUUGAGGCGCGAAAGCGUGGGGAGCAAACAGGAUUAGAUACCCUGGUAGUC
rnacentral:rRNA from 1 species